rnacentral:lncRNA from 1 species
UUUUCUUGAUUGGUUGCUGAGAAAAUUGUCGGGAAAGUUGGAAGCUUGAAAAACAAUGACAACAUCUUUGAUUUAUUUGAGCUCUAGAAAACUUUGGAGUUAAGCUAGUUAAAUGGUAUAUUGAACAAGUAAAGUUUCUGAUAUCUCCUAAGCAGCUAAAAGGUUUCCGCUUGAAUUUCUUUUUAUUUUUAAAAAUUUUGUUUCAAUUUAUAGUGUUUUUACGUUCAUUUUAAGAGAUAUAUAGCAUUUUGGUU